rnacentral:tRNA from 1 species
UCCUUCUAAGUUCAAAGAACAUUGAUCUUGUAAAUCAAAGGGUUAAUAAAGGAG